rnacentral:miRNA from 1 species
AGGAAGGUUGUGGCUCAGAGGU